UACGUAGGGUGCGAGCGUUAAUCGGAAUUACUGGGCGGAAAGCGUGCGCAGGCGGUUUUGUAAGCCGGAUGUGAAAUCCCCGGGCUUAACCUGGGAAUGGCAUUCGGGACUGCAAGGCUGGAGUGCGGCAGAGGAGACUGGAAUUCCUGGUGUAGCAGUGAAAUGCGUAGAUAUCAGGAGGAACACCGAUGGCGAAGGCAGGUCUCUGGGCUGACACUGACGCUCAUGCACGAAAGCGUGGGGAGCAAACAGG
rnacentral:rRNA from 1 species